UGGAGAGUUUGAUCCUGGCUCAGGAUGAACGCUGGCGGCGUGCCUAAUACAUGCAAGUCGAGCGAAUGGAUUAAGAGCUUGCUCUUAUGAAGUUAGCGGCGGACGGGUGAGUAACACGUGGGUAACCUGCCCAUAAGACUGGGAUAACUCCGGGAAACCGGGGCUAAUACCGGAUAACAUUUUGAACUGCAUGGUUCGAAAUUGAAAGGCGGCUUCGGCUGUCACUUAUGGAUGGACCCGCGUCGCAUUAGCUAGUUGGUGAGGUAACGGCUCACCAAGGCAACGAUGCGUAGCCGACCUGAGAGGGUGAUCGGCCACACUGGGACUGAGACACGGCCCAGACUCCUACGGGAGGCAGCAGUAGGGAAUCUUCCGCAAUGGACGAAAGUCUGACGGAGCAACGCCGCGUGAGUGAUGAAGGCUUUCGGGUCGUAAAACUCUGUUGUUAGGGAAGAACAAGUGCUAGUUGAAUAAGCUGGCACCUUGACGGUACCUAACCAGAAAGC
rnacentral:rRNA from 1 species